rnacentral:rRNA from 1 species
GGCCUAUUCUGUAGCCUGACCAUGCAGUCGAACGGCAGCGGGGGUAGCUUGCUACCUGCCGGCGAGUGGCGAACGGGUGAGUAAUACAUCGGAACGUGCCCUGUAGUGGGGGAUAACUAGUCGAAAGACUAGCUAAUACCGCAUACGACCUGAGGGUGAAAGUGGGGGACCGCAAGGCCUCAUGCUAUAGGAGCGGCCGAUGUCUGAUUAGCUAGUUGGUGGGGUAAAGGCCCACCAAGGCGACGAUCAGUAGCUGGUCUGAGAGGACGAUCAGCCACACUGGGACUGAGACACGGCCCAGACUCCUACGGGAGGCAGCAGUGGGGAAUUUUGGACAAUGGGGGCAACCCUGAUCCAGCAAUGCCGCGUGUGUGAAGAAGGCCUUCGGGUUGUAAAGCACUUUUGUCCGGAAAGAAAUCGCACUGGUUAAUACCUGGUGUGGAUGACGGUACCGGAAGAAUAAGGACCGGCUAACUACGUGCCAGCAGCCGCGGUAAUACGUAGGGUCCAAGCGUUAAUCGGAAUUACUGGGCGUAAAGCGUGCGCAGGCGGUUGUGCAAGACCGAUGUGAAAUCCCCGGGCUUAACCUGGGAAUUGCAUUGGUGACUGCACGGCUAGAGUGUGUCAGAGGGAGGUAGAAUUCCACGUGUAGCAGUGAAAUGCGUAGAGAUGUGGAGGAAUACCGAUGGCGAAGGCAGCCUCCUGGGAUAACACUGACGCUCAUGCACGAAAGCGUGGGGAGCAAACAGGAUUAGAUACCCUGGUAGUCCACGCCCUAACGAUGUCAACUAGUUGUUGGGGAUUCAUUUCCUUAGUAACGUAGCUAACCGCGUGAAGUUGACCGCCUGGGAGUACGUCGCAAGAUUAAAACUCCAAGGAAUUGACGGGGACCCGCACAAGCGUGAUGAUGUGGAUUAUCGAUGCACCGCGAAAAACCUAACCUACCUUGAACAUGCCACUUACGAGCUAGAAUGCAUAGUGCUCGAAAGGAAUGGACACAGUGCUCGCAUGGCUGCGUCCAGCUCGGGUCUGGAGAUGUGGUUAGUUCGAACCAAGGGCUACCUUGUCUAUGGUGCCAAAAGACUCUAAGAACUGCGUACAACGAAGUGUAGACCUAGUCUUAGCCCUUAAUAGCG